rnacentral:sRNA from 1 species
AGAAGCUCGGCAUGGCUGACGACGCGGGUUUGGAGACCCCGCUGUGUUCCGAGCAGUUCGGCUCCGGGGAGGCACGGGGCUGCCGCGCCGCCGCGGACGGGAGCCUGCAGUGGGAGGUCGGGGGCUGGCGCUGGUGGGGGCUCUCCAGGGCCUUCACGGUCAAACCUGAAGGACGAGAUGCGGGCGAAGUGGGGGCUCCCGGGGCCCCCUCACCGCCCCUCUCCGGGCUCCAGGCCGUGUUCCUGCCUCAGGGCUUCCCUGAUAGCGUCAGCCCGGACUACUUGCCCUACCAGCUGUGGGAUUCCGUGCAGGCCUUUGCUUCCAGCCUCUCCGGCUCCCUAGCCACCCAGGCAGUCUUGCUGGGCAUAGGGGUGGGGAACGCAAAAGCCACUGUUUCAGCUGCCACGGCCACCUGGCUCGUGAAAGAUUCAACUGGCAUGCUGGGCCGCAUCGUCUUUGCCUGGUGGAAAGGUGCAUCGUGAGUGUUGCUGGUGGGGCCACUCGGGCUGCCCUGACCGUGCACCAGGCUCGCAGGAACAACAUGGCUGACGUGUCAGCCAAGGACAGCAGCCAGGAGACGCUGGUGAACCUGGCGGGGCUCUUGGUCAGCCUCCUGAUGCUCCCUCUGGUGUCAGGUUGCCCUGGGUAAGCCGGAAGCAGGGUGGGCAGGAGAACCCCAGCUGGGCCUCUGCCCACUUCAGCUACCUCACUCUCUCACCCCAGCUUCAGCCUUGGAUGUUUCUUCUUCCUCACUGCCCUCCACAUCUACGCCAACUACCGCGCGGUCCGAGCCCUGGUCAUGGAGACCUUGAAUGAAGGCCGGCUCCGGCUGGUCCUGAAGCACUACCUUCAGAGGGGAGAGGUACUCGACCCAACUGCAGCCAAUCGCAUGGAGCCGCUGUGGACAGGUGACCCUGCCCCUGGUCUCGGGUCCUGUGUCUCAGCCUCUCCCACUGCCUAGGCAUCCUGACCCCAGCUUCCCACAGGUUUCUGGCCAGCUCCGUCUCUAUCCCUAGGGGUCCCCUUACACCGCUUGGUCUCCAGGUGAGUGGCCUA